UACGUAGGCAGCGAGCGUUGUUCGGAAUUACUGGGCGUAAAGCGUGCGUAGGUGGUUCGUUAAGUCCGUUGUGAAAGCCCCGAGCUCAACUUGGGAAUUGCAGUGGAUACUGGCGAGCUGGAGUGCGGUAGAGGAAGGUGGAAUUCCCGGUGUAGCGGUGAAAUGCGUAGAGAUCGGGAGGAACACCAGUGGCGAAGGCGGCCUUCUGGACCAGCACUGACACUCAAGCACGAAAGCGUGGGGAGCAAACAGGG
rnacentral:rRNA from 1 species